rnacentral:lncRNA from 1 species
AAAUAAUUCUCAACCAAGUCUUAAUUUAAUCUUAAUUGAAAUCCUAAUAGAAUUCAAUCAAAUUCUAGGCCAAAUCUUAAAUCCUAAACAAAUCCUAAAUCCUAAAUAAAUCCUAAAUCAAAUCCUAAAUCCUGGUCUAAUCUUUAAUCAAACCUUAACCAAAUCUUAAGCAAAUCCUAUAUCCUAAAUCAUAAGAAAAUCCUAAAUCUUAAAUCCUAAACCAUAAGAAAAUCAUAAAUCAAAUCCUAAAUCUAAUCCUAAACCCUAAAUUCUAAAUCCCAAGCAAAUCUUAAAUCAAAUCCUAAAUCAAAUCUUGAAUCCUAAAUCCUAAGCAAAUCUUAGACCAAACUCUAAACUCUAGUCCAACCUUAAAUCUUAACCAAAUCUUCACCAAAUUCUAAGUAAAUCCUAAAUCAAAUCCUAAAUCCUAGU